GAAUAUUGGUCAAUGGACGUAAGUCUGAACCAGCCAAGUCGCGUGAGGGAAGACUGCCCUAUGGGUUGUAAACCUCUUUUAUAAGGGAAGAAUAAGUUCUACGUGUAGAAUGAUGCCUGUACCUUAUGAAUAAGCAUCGGCUAACUCCGUGCCAGCAGCCGCGGUAAUACGGAGGAUGCGAGCGUUAUCCGGAUUUAUUGGGUUUAAAGGGUGCGUAGGCGGUUUAUUAAGUUAGUGGUUAAAUAUUUGAGCUAAACUCAAUUGUGCCAUUAAUACUGGUAAACUGGAGUACAGACGAGGUAGGCGGAAUAAGUUAAGUAGCGGUGAAAUGCAUAGAUAUAACUUAGAACUCCGAUAGCGAAGGCAGCUUACCAGACUGUAACUGACGCUGAUGCACGAGAGCGUGGGUAGCGAACAGGAUUAGAUACCCUGGUAGUCCACGCCGUAAACGAUGCUCACUGGUUCUGUGCGAUAUAUUGUACGGGAUUAAGCGAAAGUAUUAAGUGAGCCACCUGGGGAGUACGUCGGCAACGAUGAAACUCAAAGGAAUUGACGGGGGCCCGCACAAGCGGAGGAACAUGUGGUUUAAUUCGAUGAUACGCGAGGAACCUUACCUGGGUUUAAAUGGGAAAUGCCGUAUUUGGAAACAGAUAUUCUCUUCGGAGCGUUUU
rnacentral:rRNA from 1 species